rnacentral:rRNA from 1 species
CCUACGGGGGGCAGCAGUAGGGAAUAUUGCUCAAUGGGGGAAACCCUGAAGCAGCAACGCCGCGUGGAGGAUGAAGGUUCUCGGAUUGGAAACCCCUUUUGUUAGAGAAGCUAAUGACGGUAUGUAACGAAUAAGCACCGGCUAACUCCGUGCCAGACGCCGCGGUAAUACGGAGGGUGCAAGCGUUACUCGGAACCACGGGGCGUAAAGAGCGCGUAGGCGGGAUAGCAAGUCAGAUGUGAAAUCCUAUGGCUUAACCAUAGAACUGCAUUUGAAACUGGUAUUCUAGAGUAUGGGAGAGGUAGGUGGAAUUCUUGGUGUAGGGGUAAAAUCCGUAGAGAUCAAGAAGAAUACUCAUUGCGAAGGCGACCUGCUAGAACAUAACUGACGCUGAUGCGCGAAAGCGUGGGGAGCAAACAGGAUUAGAUACCCUGGUAGUC